CAGAGCGUUCGUGAGGAUCCUGUGUGCCUGCUGCCCGGGUCGAAUGAGACGGCGAUAUCAGCCGGCAUUCAGAUGUAAACCAAGUCAAAGAUUCGCAUCGGGGAGGUACUACUCCGCUUAUUCGCUCCACCACGUACGAAGCAGCCAAGAGAGUUCGUGCGAGCAAACCUACAUUUAACGAUGGGAUAUCGCCGCGAUGUGGAUCCUCGUCAAUCGUUGGACACCUUUUCUACCUUCCUUCCACCUUCCCUUCCGCUCGUUACCAUCGAGAAGCAUCGUCCUGCCUGCGACAAGUCCUAUCCGAGUAAUCGCCCGGAGACACUUUAGUACAGAGAUUAUCGACGAAGGAUUCUGUCACCACCCCGUAUAACAUAGCCUCGUACGUUACCGGAGCGAGCACCAGCGGCGAGGCGAGUCGUGUGAGCUACAGCAGCGUCAGCCAGAGCAGCGACGGUGGUGCCGGUACCAUACUACCUAGCGGCGGGAUGUGACGUCACACGGGGGCCCGGCCUGGGCCUCGGCGAGAACGCGCGAUCCGUUUCCGGGACACGUGAUUGUAGACUCGCUUCUCCAGUCUAUCUCUUCUCAUCGUUCUGACUCGUUCUCAGAGAUAGAAUCCGAACGAGGCGAAUCAAGAAGAUCGUUCACCGAUCCCCGCCUGUGCUUCCGAGCAGGACAAACCGAGGAUCUCGUCGUGGAUCUCAAGGAUAUGCGAAACCUGGUUUCGUUUCUUCAUCUUCGUCGUCGAACUUCACCGACCUGACGAAAAAAGUGGACCACGAGAAGAAGCGUGACGCGCGACUCGCGACAAUUUCUUGUACAUAGAGAGAGAGAGAGAGCAACAGUAGUUUCGCGUUUUGUACCUCCGACGAAGAAUCUAGUGGAAAAAAACAAAAGAGAACAAAUCGAAUUGCGGGGAAAGACGGUACCAUGAAUCGAGUCGGACGGCUUGUUACCGUUUUUACGUUCGGACACUAUGUAGCCUUUUAGCGAACCUUCGUACACGAAAUCGUAUACAGAGCAGCCGGCGAUGGCGCCGCACCCUACACGGCGAAUUUAUCCUAUUUUCCUAUUACUCCUCGAUUUCACAUGCGUCCAACCAAUUGUCUGCCCGCUUUCGUUUCGAUACGAUUAAACGUUAUUGUUCCUCGGGUGAACCGUGAACCGAAUCGCGAGAAAGAAAACACAGUCUCUGUGCCUGUGUGGCGUCACGCGUUUAGAAGACUGACGAGACCCAGCGUUUGGAAUUUAACGUAAUGUGGAAUUGGUAUUGGUUUCCGUGUCGGCGCAUUGGCAAGUGACUGUAUAAAUAAAAGGUGUGCACAAAGUUAAAAUAACGAGAAACGAAUAAACGUAUUAGCGCGCCAAGCCGGCUGUCGAUCGACAAAGAAAAAAACACGUGAAAAAAAAAACAACAACACUUCUUACGAGAAAAUUAACAACGUUCCCUCGGGGAAAAAAAAAUCGCAUUUUCCUGCAAAAAAAUCGAAUAUGCGCGUUCCGCACUGUUCUUCCAGUCACGUCGAUCGUUAAAUACGUAUAUUCAAAUGGAUCCGAUGCGACAAACCAAUGUCUAGAUUGAGAGUUACCUUCGAGUUUCCUCGACACAAGACUGGCAAAAUCGAAAGGUUUUUUUUUUCAUCGAAUUGACGAAGAAAACAACCGAGUUGUUCCUUUCGUUUACAAGAAUACAGCGUGAAACACGUACCAAGGCCGAUGUAACUUAAUCGAUGAAUAAAGUAACAAAGCUGUAGUCUGGAUAAUAUUUAAAAAAGAAACAAAGCAUGAUUUCGUAUUCACACACGUUGAUAGCCAAUUUCAAAAAAAAAAAAAAAGAAAUAUAUCUGUUAAAUACGACUGUCGAAUUCCGUUGUUUGAAAUUAAUUGAUCGAACCAAGCUCUGUAUGUUGUUAAUUUAAAUAUUUCGAAAUCGUUUCCUCUAUUAAUAAAAAUCUACUCGACAGAAUACGAUUAUCACACUGGACGAUUUUUAGUCGACAGACAGAUACCUCUACUUUCAAUGGCGGAUAUUUUUAUGACAGAACAAUUAUUUAUUUUAUCGAGAGUAUCCUAAUGUAGGCAAUCGUUGUUGUAUAUAAAACAAUUUCCAUGCAAAAUGUAAAUAUUAGAACACUGUGAAACGUAUAUGUGUAUGAGAAAUUGUACCAAAAGCGUGUAUCAGUACGAAUAUAAACAAACGUUUCCUCGAAUAAAGAUAUAUUCAAUAUUAAUUCAAUAAUCCUAUCUCGCUAACCUAAACACUACGAAAAAGAUCGGAUUGAAUAUUCGCUGUUCAUGAAAAAUUGUCACUUGCUUGUUUUAGCCGUGACAUAUUAACUCUUUGCAUGUAAGAUUAAAAAUCGGAAUACUAUGCGAUGCAACAGAAAAAUGAAAGAUUAAAAAAAAGUGUUAAUGUUAAAAUAAACAAAUGAUUUACCUCGGAUUUCAAGCCAACGAAGACUAGUCUAGUUGUACUAUCCAAUAAUAAUUAUACCUAUUGAGUUCUGUUUUUAAAAUAAUUUUUUACACUCUGUGGCAGUUGUUUUUAUUUAUAACUUCAUGACAUAAAGUUCAUUGCAAAAAUAAUCGCAUUCGUCUCAAAGAAAAUUCACUCACACGGAAAAAAAAAUGGCGCGCAACUGAUUUAGCGUUUUAACAACUCUAGUCAUUGUACUGUAAGUUCGUUAAUGCUCGAAAGUUUAAUAAAAGAAAUAGUUUAUGAAAAUCGA